UAUACUGUAUCAAAAGCUAACAGAAGAAACACUGAACUACAAAAACAGUUUAACCAACGCCACCUUGAAAUACAAGGAUUUUAAAAUAGACAGCUUGAAGCCUUUAGAAAUCUCAUUUAUACUGAUAAAUAUCAUUUUCCGUUUUUCGACUGCCGGAGUAUACUUGUACCUUCCCCAGUUACGUAACUUGCCUGGAAAGAUUUUCUUGUCCUUUCAGAUCACGUGCAUAACCCAGAUCCUGUGCUCUGAGGUCGUGUAUCGUAUGGCAGGCGUCCCUGACUUACCUACAGCAGUGCUGAUAGACAGCGCCCUCACACUUCUCAGCUGUUUCUGGCUGAACUCAUUCUGCUACCACAUGUAUGCUUGUGUUCGCCAUCUCAGGCUUUCUGACCAGCUACUACCUGCUGAAGUAAGCCAGUUAUUCCGUCGUGAGGUGCUGUGUGUGUUUAUACCGUGGAGUAUAGUAUGUGUGGCAGCUGUUGCUUUGGAAAAGACGAGUAAAUAUCACCUGAUGCACAGUCGUAUAGUAGUCCUUGCAGGGAUUUCAGUGUCUGUGGCAUUCAAUUUCGUUUGUCUCGGACUGCUUGGAUACAUGUACGUACGUACUCGGUGCUCCAUGCGGCAACUCAAAAUUGUUGAUAACAAGAAAUUUGCCUCAAAGAAGCAAUGUCUUUUUAUGUCAGUUAAGGCCAUUAUAUUAAGUGGAACAGGAAUUAUUAUUAGAAUUGGGUUCCACCAGGCUCAGGGAAUAGCGCAGUUUGUGUACUAUAUGCAUCUAGCUACGAUGGUUCAAGGACCAGUGCUCUUCGUCUGUUUCGUUUGCAAUGGAACGACGCUCCCCAUACUGAAGAACAGGAUACUUCUUUGGUGGAACCCAACCAACAUCCCUGCAGGUCUAGAGCUGUGUUCGGCAGCCGAGAGGAAUCUGGCCAGGAGAAACAAUGAACAGUCUCCCUUUUCAGAAUCCUCGCUGUAGCCUCCUUCAGUAUUUUUCGCAAAUAACUGUCUCCACACUACACUGCAUUAAGCCCAGCAAUAAAAAUGGACUCUACCUGGUAUGACAAUAUUAAAUGUCAUUAAAUCUCAUAUCGUACA